UACAGAGGGGGCAAGCGUUGUUCGGAAUUACUGGGCGUAAAGGGCGCGUAGGCGGCCUGCUAAGUCGAACGUGAAAUCCCCGGGCUCAACCCGGGAACUGCGUCCGAUACUGACAGGCUUGAAUCCGGGAGAGGGAUGUGGAAUUCCAGGUGUAGCGGUGAAAUGCGUAGAUAUCGAGAGGAACACCUGCGGCGAAGGCGGGUUGCUGGGCUGACACUGACGCUGAAGCGCGAAAGCUAGGGGAGCGAACGGG
rnacentral:rRNA from 1 species